rnacentral:lncRNA from 1 species
AAUUCAUCAAAACAAGUUGAUCUACAAGAAUCCACAAGUGGGUCCACAAGGAACCCAAUCUAGAACUAUCAUGAAGCAUUGCGUAGCUGCAAAGCGUCCAGCAGUACAUAAUAAUGAUUGCAUGAUCACUUCAUUCUUGGAGAAGUCCUCCAUUUAAAGAGAUACUGACGAAGGGUAGUCCAACCUAAGGUAAAAGCAAUGGACAAAGCAUCAAACCCGUCCCACAGAGAAAAACAUUAGGGGAAAAGUGCGAGAAACUGCAGAGAUGAAUUAUUUUGCUGUCCAUCGAGAACAACCCUACCUCUGUCUGAGAUUCUGCACCAUGUAGUCUUCAACAAGGGAAACUUACCCUGACCAAGAAUUUUGUAAGUCCUAACUGCGUGUUACUUGGAAGCCUCAUUGUCUGAAAGGAAAGUGUUAUCAGUUGUGUAACAAUGUCCAACUGGUCCAUACUCUCCGGCUCAUCUUUUGCCUUUUCUUUAUCUUAUUCUUUUUUUUCCUUACUUUUUACUUGUUUCUUCCUUUUCAACCUGAAGUUUAUCUUUGCUAACCAAGACCUCAUCAGUGGACAUGCCUAAUAUUUUAGGAUGACUACAAGUUUUGAAAUACAUAUAAAAAGCAUCUUGUGCCUUAAUAUCUAUCUUUUCGUGGUCCAACUUCCGGUGCUCGUGUAAUAAAUAAAAUUGUAUGCAGUCAAUACCAUCUGUUAAGGAGAGUUACAACCACAUAUGAAUGAUCUCCUUCAGAAACCUAAGAUUAAAUCGGUUGGAUGACAAAGCAUAGCAGAAGGAAUUAACAUGCCAAGUCUUGGAAAGCACUCCAAACUCCCAAUCCAAAUGCUGCCUAUUAAAGGAAGGCAAUAACUGCUAGUACCAGUAGCCUCUAUGGUUACCAGGUUACCAGCAAGUUGAACAAAAAAUAGGAAAAAGGACACAGAGUGAUGAACAAACUGAACAGAAGAUUGACAUGGAUGUCCAAAGGAAAGGGCACUUCUGAUGACUGCUGCUUCCGUUUGAUUCAAGUUCCCAAUUUUGCUACUUCAGAUUGAUUGAAUACGUAUGUAGAAAUGCUAAUGUUUAUGCCUCAAAAUUUCGUAACAGAAAAGGAACAGAUGAAAAAUAUAACAAUCCUCUGCACCAAGUUAUUCCAUGUAAAGAUUGUUUUGAUAUAUUUUCAUUUAAAACAGUAUUAGAUCUUCAAAAUCUUUGUGACUUGUCUAUUGUUUAUCAUUUAUAUAAGGUUUCUGGACAGUCUUACAAUUCCAUAUACUCAAUACCUCCCUGGAAGUUCGAUUUAAAACUGCAGCUUACAUACUAUCGAAAGACACCAUGGACAGCAUACACUGAAAUCGCAGUCAUGAUUGCAGAGUAAAUUUGACAACCAACAAGCCACGCAAAUUUUUGCUGAACCACCAGCUGUUCUGAUAACAUCGGUAACUGCCCUACUUGAGAAUUC